ACCGCGAUAGGUCAGCUGGUAGAGCAUCUGCCCGGUAUGCGGAGGGUCGCCGGUUCGAUUCCGGCUCGCGGCG
rnacentral:tRNA from 1 species